rnacentral:lncRNA from 1 species
GAUCCCCAGGUGAAGUCUGCGAAAACUAGGCUUGUUCUCCAGUGUGGAAGGCCUUCCCUCUGUUCAGACGUGCACAAUUACCGACUCUGUCAGCCGCCAGUCCUUUGGGAGGCUUUUUUAAAUUUUAUUUUUAUUUUUUUGAGGACGAUUAGCCCUGAGCUAACAUCUGCUGCCAAUCUUCCUCUUUUUACUGAGGAAGACUGGCCCUGAGCUAACAUCUGUGCCCAUCUUCCUCUACUUUAUAUGUGGGACACCUACCACAGCAUGGCUUGCCAAGCGGUGCUAUGUCUGCACCCAGGAUCCGAACCCGUGAACCCUGGGUGCUGAAGCAGAAUGUGCAAACUUAACCACUGUGCCACUGGGCCAGUCCCAACAGCAUGUUUUCACUUCAUGCAUUUUGGGUUUCUCUAGAUCUGGACACAUGACCUAGCCUUGUCCCCCAAAGCCCUUCAUCCCCCUGGCCAUGGUACAGGGACAGAGACCCACGCCUGACCCAUGGGAGCCUUUCUGUGACUUUGCUGUAUCCAUUUGAAAAGAACUGCUCUUUGUCUCAUUUCACUGCAGCUGCUGAGGAUGGACAGGAUGCUGUAGGACAUAUGGUACAGUGGACCCGCAAGUCAGGAAGUAGGAGAAGUGCCCAGAAACACCGUUUCACCCCUGCAGCAGCGGUUCCUUCCAGCGUGCAGCAGCGGUUCUUUCCAGCGUCCAGCUUCUUACAACGUCUCCAGCACCAGGCUUCGGCAUACCAGCAGCAGCCUGCAGAGCGCCCACUCCUCAGAUGUCUCAGAUUUGCAGGCCCUUCCUUUGAGCUCUUAGGGGACCAGCAGCAGCUGGCCUCUGCUCUCUUUCUUAGACGUUGGAUUUCAGCAAUGCAGUGUUUGUCCUACUUCUGGAUUCUGAUACUCAGCCUCUGCCCUUUGUUCUGGCAGCCCUGGGAUGGUAACUGCUUCCUGCAGUUAUUGCCUCUGUGUUUCUUCAGCAUUCUUUUUUUUUUGAGGAAGAUUAGCCCUGAGCUAACAUCUGCUACAAUCCUCCUCUUUUUGCUGAGGAAGACUGGCCCUGAGCUAACAUCCGUGCCCAUCUUCCUCUACUUUAUAUGUGGGAUGCCUGCCACAGCAUGGCUUGAUAAGCGGUGCAUACGUCCGCCCCAGGGAUUCGAACCAGCGAACCCUGGCUGCCAAAGCGGAAUGAGCAAACUUAACCACUGCGCCACUGGGCUGCCCCUUCAGCAUUCUUAUUUGAUUUUUCAGCCCUCCAAUUGCCUAAAUUAAAAUCUCUCUGUUAAAAUAACUAGUGCGGCUCUGAUUUCCUGACUGAGAUAGAGAUAGAGAUAGAGCCAGUGCCUGCCUCCCAAUAAAAGUCAAAAGCCCUUGAGGCCA